rnacentral:rRNA from 1 species
UACGUAGGAGACGAGCGUUGUCCGGAGUUACUGGGCGUAAAGGGUGCGCAGGCGGCCUUGCGCGUCGCGAGUGAAAUCUCCCGGCUCAACUGGGAGGGUGCGCCGAAUACUGAGAGGCUAGAGUGUGGGAGAGGAAAGUGGAAUUCCUGGUGUAGCGGUGAAAUGCGUAGAUAUCAGGAGGAACACCGGUGGUGUAAACGGCUUUCUGGACCAUAACUGACGCUGAGGCACGAAAGCGUGGGUAGCAAACAGG